rnacentral:rRNA from 1 species
AUGCUUGUACCGCAGGCGUCCUACGGGAGAAAGCAGGGGAUCUUCGGACCUUGCGCUGAAUGAUGAGCCUAAGUCGGAUUAGCUAGUUGGUGGGGUAAAGGCCUACCAAGGCGACGAUGUGUAGCGGGUCUGAGAGGAUGAUCCGCCACACUGGGACUGAGACACGGCCCACACUCCUACCGGAGGCAGCACUGGGGAAUAUUGGACAAUGGGCGGAAGCCUGAUCCAGCCAUGCCACGUGUGUGAAGAAGGCCUUAUGGUUGUGAAGCACUUUAGUCGAGGAGGAGGCUACUAGUAUUAAUACAACAGGAUAGGGGACGUAUACAUCGUCAUUAACAAGCACCGGCUAACUCUGUGCCAGCAGCCGCGGUAAUACAGAGGGUGCGAGCGUUAAUCGGAUUUACUGGGCGUAAAGCGUGCGUAGGCUGCUUUUUAAGUCAGAUGUGAAAUCCCCGAGCUUAACUUGGGAAUUGCAUUCGAUACUGGGAAGCUAGAGUAUGGAAGAGGAUGGUAUAAUUCCCGGUGUAGCGGUGAGAUGCUUAAAGAUCUGGAGGAAUACGGAUAGCGAAGGCGGCCAUCUCGCCUAAUACUGACGCUUAUGUACGAUAGCAUGGAGAGCAAACAUGAUUAGAUACCCUGGUAGUCCAUGCCGUACACGAUGUCUACCAGCCUUUGGGGCCUUUGAGGCUAUAUUGGCGCAGCUUACGCGAUAAGUAGACCGCCUGGAGAGUACAGUCUCACACUAGACUCGAUAAUUGACGGGGCCCGCACAGCCGUGGAGCAGGUGUUUCCUCGAUGCACACAAAGAUCUUACCCGCCUUGACAACGAGAACUUCCAAGAUGAAUGUGCUUCUGCAUCUAGAUCCCGUCUGCAGGCUGUCUCACUCGUUCCU